UACGUAGGGUGCGAGCGUUAAUCGGAAUUACUGGGCGUAAAGCGUGCGCAGGCGGUGAUGUAAGACAGGUGUGAAAUCCCCGGGCUUAACCUGGGAACUGCGCUUGUUACUGGCAGGCUUGAGUGUGGCAGGAGGGGGUGGAAUUCCACGUGUAGCAGUGAAAUGCGUAGAUAUGUGGAGGAACACCAAUGGCGAAGGCAGCCCCCUGGGUCAACACUGACGCUCAUGCACGAAAGCGUGGGGAGCAAACAGG
rnacentral:rRNA from 1 species